rnacentral:rRNA from 1 species
CCUACGGGGCGCAGCAGUGAGGAAUAUUGGUCAAUGGGCGGGAGCCUGAACCAGCCAAGUCGCGUGAGGGAAGACGGUCCUAUGGAUUGUAAACCUCUUUUGUCAGGGAGCAAAGAGACCACGUGUGGUCAAAAGCGAGAGUACCCGAAGAAAAAGCAUCGGCUAACCCCGUGCCAGCAGCCGCGGUAAUACGGAGGAUGCGAGCGUUAUCCGGAUUUAUUGGGUUUAAAGGGUGCGUAGGCGGGACGGUAAGUCAGCGGUAAAAAUGCGGAGCUCAACUCCGUCGAGCCGUUGAAACUGUCGUU